ACCUGUCGAUGUAACUUGUCGAUGAAAGAGAUAGCCGUUCUUAACGUUGUUCAAACGAGGAAAAAAAGGAGAAGAAAGAGGAUGAGUGGGUUAUGGGUUGGGCUAGAGCAGAAGAUUUCUGCGUGACGUUACAACGAAGUGGAACGGGUGAAGUUAAAGAGAGACGCGACAUAAGGAAAAAUAGCGUUUUAAUAAAGUCGCAUGUUCGGAUACCGAAAUAUUUUAUGUUCGAAUAAAAGACGAUGGAAGUUGGCGCAAUAAAAGUUUUAUCGUGUGCAAAGCGAUGUUUGCGAGGAAAGACGAUGUGAUGUUAUAAGCUCGAUAUUGAAAUAAAUAUGACGGUGGAUAAUUAAAAUAUCUUUUUCUUACUCGAAAUGUUCAUCUUUUCACGCAAUAUCUCGAUAUGUAAAUUUUUCUGUUACAAAUGUUCAAAUAUAUAUCUUUUUAUCGAAA